ACUUCUUAGUAUUCAACCCGCGCUCCAUUGUUCUGUCUUAUCCACGCGAGCGUUCCCAAAUCCCCCUCGACCCCGGCUACAUCAGGGGACGCCGCCACCCCUCUGCCGCCGGCCUCUCCGCACCGGCGACCUCCCCUCCCCUCCCCUCCUAUCACUUCCCUUCCCUUCCCCCUUAUAGAGAGGCGAGCCCAUGUCGCUCCCGCCACGGUUGGAUCCAGACCAAGCACGUGGGGUUCCAGCUCGACAUGGCGGCGGGAUUCGCGGAUCCACGGCCACGGUGGUGCGAGCGCCUAGCCGCAGUCGUGAGAAGAGAGGAGGCAGGGCGGCCAUGGCGUUCCCGCCAUAGCCGGAUAACUGGCUCCACCACGAGCUCCUCGCAGAGUGACGAUGGCGGCUCCGAACCCUAGCGGACGCUCCUGCUCAUCUUCCUCCACACCUCCGGCGCCAUAUUCAUCGCCUACAUGGACGCAGCUUCCUCUCUGGCGACAGGAAUGGUUUAUAAUCUAGGUAGCGCAAAUUGUUUUUGGUUGGCGAUGACUGCAAUCAUUUUCGGGAUAAAAAGCAGUUAAGAGUUAACUUCAAAUUUAUUUUGACACUCCCGUCCAUAUUACUGCCGUUUAUUUAUGAAAAAAUAUUUGGUAGAUGGAUAACUAAACCGUCUUCCUUUUUUUUCAGCUUUUGGUGCCACUUUGUAAACUCUUAGCGAUAUGAGGAACCAGAGGUCAACACAAGGUAAGCACAUUCAGAAGCCAGAUUACUCUGCAUGAGAAGAUUCAGCAUAAGGCUUAUGGUGGUGAUGAAAACAUCAUCAGAAUCGUCACCACUAGGAGCAAAGCUUAGCUGCUUGCGACAUUCAACCAAUAUAGUGUCGUAACCUGCUCAUUCUGCUAUAUUUGUUAUGCCUACCUUUUCUCUCUGUUGCAUUCUACUAAUGGUUCAGUACGUUGGACAAGCUGCUAACAAACUAUUCUGAAUUUCUACUUGAAAAGAUGCAUCAGAUCGCAGAGUAUGUUGGCGAUGUCUUAGUGUGUAUUGAACAGCUUUUUUUAUUACAUCUUGAUUGUUGACAUUGGUGGUGUUUUCUUUUGGUUCAGCAGAAAUUUGUUGAAGUGAAAGAUGAAGAGGAACUUGUGGAAGAGCUGAAUACAGGACAUGGAAGAAAGAAGAAAGCAAAGCAUAUACAUUAUAAUGAUAUGUGGAGUAUGAUUUCCCUGAUGCUAUGUUAAAUGGUUUCAAGCACGUUGUGGAGGAUUUAGCCAUAGAUUUUGGUGUAACGUAAGGACGAUAUUUGUGUUCUUCGCUGAGCAUUGAAAACCUGCGAAUUUCUGGCUGCUAACUUUUUUUUGACUGUGCUAACUUAAACUAUGGUCUUUGUGGAGAACAUGUCCAGUAAUCUCAGUAUCAUUACCUGCACAGUAGAACAUCAACUAUUUUACCAUAAAAGUUAGUUCAAUUCAGUUAUUCUAGCCAGCUAGCUAAUGUGGUUCUUGCAAAUAGCACUAGCAGCAUCGCAUACCAUGAUUCUUUCAUAGUGGGGUUACAUCUGAGGCAACAUAUAUUUAUUCUCUAUCUAGAUGUUGUAUCAGGAUGAAGCUUACCAACAAGGAUCAGAAGAAAACAUCAGUCACGCCUAAUUGUGACGAAGAGUAAGGCAAUAGAGCUAUUUGGGUUGUAUAAGAAGAAUACCGGCCAAUGCAGGUUGAGGCUAGACAAUUGUUGCUUAACUGGGUUCAAGUUAGCUCAAUUGUUCUGACAAGCUUUAGUUUUUUUUUUCCUCUGGUGUGUAUUCUUGAGACAUUUUAUAUAAAUAUAAAUAGCAUACAAGCAAUCCCA